UCAUAUAUGCUUGUCUUAAAGAUUAAGCCAUGCAUGUCCAAGUACAAACAAAUUUGUAUUGUGAAACUGCGAAUGGCUCAUUAUAUCAGUUAUAAUUCACUCAGCACUCACUUUCUACAUGGAUAACCGUGGGAAACCAGAGCUAAUACAUGCGCAAAGGGGCAGCAAUGCCUCGUAUUUAUUAGGUACAAAACCAACACUUGGUUGAUUCACAAUAACUAUACGGAUCGCAUGGCCUUGUGCCGGCGACAGGCUGAUCAAAUUUCUGCCCUAUCAACUAUGGAUGGUAGGAUAGAGGCCUACCAUGGUUAUAACGGGUAACGGAGAAUAAGGGUUCGAUUCCGGAGAGGGAGCCUGAGAAACGGCUACCACAUCCAAGGAUGGCAGCAGGCGCGCAAAUUACCCAAUCCUGACACAGGGAGGUAGUGACAAGAAAUAACAA
rnacentral:rRNA from 1 species